rnacentral:rRNA from 1 species
AUUCCAGCUCCAAUAGCGUAUAUUAAAGUUGUUGCAGUUAAAAAGCUCGUAGUUGGAUCUCGGGAGCGAGCGAGCGGUCGGGCGUUCAGCCAUGUACUUCUCACUCAUCCUACUGACCGGUACGUGCCCUGUGCUCUUAACCGAGUGUAGGGACCGUCUGGUGCGUUUACUUUGAAAAAAUUAGAGUGCUCAAAGCAGACGAGUCGUCUGAAUAGCCGUGCAUGGAAUAAUGGAAUAGGACCUCGGUUCUAUUUUGUUGGUUUUCGGAAGUCGAGGUAAUGAUUAAGAGGGACAGACGGGGGCAUUCGUACUAGGCCGCCAGAGGUGAAAUUCUUUAACUGGCUCAUGACGAACAACUGCGAAAGCAUUUGCCAAGAAUGUUUUCAUUA